rnacentral:rRNA from 1 species
AGUGAACGCUGGCGGUAGGCCUAACACAUGCAAGUCGAACGGCAGCACAGUAAGAGCUUGCUCUUACGGGUGGCGAGUGGCGGACGGGUGAGGAAUACAUCGGAAUCUACUUUUUCGUGGGGGAUAACGUAGGGAAACUUGCGCUAAUACCGCAUACGACCUACGGGUGAAAGCAGGGGAUCUUCGGACCUUGCGCGAUUGAAUGAGCCGAUGUCGGAUUAGCUAGUUGGCGGGGUAAAGGCCCACCAAGGCGACGAUCCGUAGCUGGUCUGAGAGGAUGAUCAGCCACACUGGAGCUGAGACACGGUCCAGACUCCUACGGGAGGCAGCAGUGGGGAAUAUUGGACAAUGGGCGCAAGCCUGAUCCAGCCAUACCGCGUGGGUGAAGAAGGCCUUCGGGUUGUAAAGCCCUUUUGUUGGGAAAGAAAAGCAGCAGGUUAAUACCCCGCUGUUCUGACGGUACCCAAAGAAUAAGCACCGGCUAACUUCGUG